UUGAAUCAUUUACCAGUGUCACCCUUUUACAUCGGGUGUUCUUUUCUUUUAUACCAAGUACAUGUAAUAUCAUCUUGUCUAUACAAUACGUAUACAACAUAAGUUAACACACACACACACACACAACAACAUCAAAGCGUUGAUUUUAGCUUUCCCCAGAAGAUCAGGAUAUGAAUGGAAUUAUUUUUUGAUUCCGAAUAAUUUAUUACGUAUUUAAAUAGUAAACAGCUGGUUCGUGCUCUGUUUGUGAAGAUCUAGAUUUAAAUUUCUAAAACUAAACUAAAUUGAAAGCAGAUCCAGAAGAAGUCGAGAUAUAUUUCCUAGAUCUGUUCUUCACUUUGUGUAAGGUUCAGCUUACACGGCAUGUGAUGGGGCUAAUAAAGUUCGACAGCAGAACAUAACUUUAGGACAUGAUUGUUUUCACCUGGCACCCAACUAUAGGGUCACUGAGUCCACCUAGCUAUAGAGUCACUGAGUUCGCACAGCUAUAGGGUCACUGAGUCUACCCAGCUAUAGGGUCACUGAGUCAACCUAGCUAUAGGGUCACAGAGUCAACCUAGCUAUAGGGUCACUGAGUCUACCCAGCUAUAGAGUCACUGAGUCUAC